rnacentral:rRNA from 1 species
UUAAACUGAAGAGUUUGAUCAUGGCUCAGAUUGAACGCUGGCGGCAGGCUUAACACAUGCAAGUCGAGCGGUAACAGAGAUAGCUUGCUAUCUGCUGACGAGCGGCGGACGGGUGAGUAACGCGUAGGAAACUACCCGGUAGUGGGGGACAACCGUUGGAAACGACGGCUAAUACCGCAUACGCUCUACGGAGGAAAGGGGGCUUCGGCUCUCGCUAUCGGAUGUGCCUGCGUGAGAUUAGCUAGUUGGUGGGGUAAAAGCCUACCAAGGCGACGAUCUCUAGCUGGUCUGAGAGGAUGAUCAGCCACACUGGGACUGAGACACGGCCCAGACUCCUACGGGAGGCAGCAGUGGGGAAUAUUGGACAAUGG